UUCAUUUGGAUCCGAGAGAUUGCGAAAGUUGCAAUCAUGAGUAUUGUAAAGCAUGUGAUUAGCCCAUCAUUUCAUCAAGUGGCACACAUAUAUUCAUAGGAAAAAACUCGAUCUUGUACAAAUUUUAAAACAGAUAAUUGGAAAAAAAAAAAGAGUUAAAGGAAGUUCCGUUUCUAAAAACAAAUAUUCUAUAGUCUCGUAUAUGUGUAGUCGUUUCAAUGCAAUUUUAGAAACAAAGGUCGCUAGAUUAAGUCAAGCGACGGCUUUACAAUUGCAACACUAUAUAUAGCAUAGCUAUGUCGUCACAAAUCUCCCAAAUUAGUUUAUAUAUCAUCACAAAAUCGUUAUGAAAUUCUGAGACUAUCUAGUGCAUGCAUGUGUCACUAUGCUUCACAAUUACAAAUAGAUAUAACAACCGUAAAACUCGCAACAAUAGGUAUUCAAAUUUUUUUCUUUUUAAAUGUAAGUUAAUUAGGAGAUUCUUAAAAUGAUUAAAGUUCAUAAUUGAAAGCCAAAACAUAUUACAACUACAAGUGAUCAUAACUAAGCCACGAAGAAUCUCACGUUCCUAAAAAAAUAAUAGCAUGCCUAAAGAGAAAAUAGAUAAAAGAUUAGCAAAAGAAAAAAGAAAAUAAAAAUCCAUUGCAGAUUGGUUCAUAAUCCUACAUGAUUCACUAGGGCCAAUCCUAAAAGCCACAAACUCAUUUCACUUUCACUUAUGAUUAGAUGGUGAUGAUCAUCUGAUUUUGCACAUUUCCAUGUGAC
rnacentral:lncRNA from 1 species